GGAAGACCAGGAUUACCUGGUGUACCUGGCCCUCCUGGACCAAGAGGAUUACCUGGAGAACAAGGAAAUCAAGGUUUUAGGGGAGAUCCUGGAGAAGGUGGAAUUAAUUCAAUUGGUGUUAGAGGAGAUCGAGGAGAAGAUGGCUAUCCUGGAGAACGUGGUCCUGUAGGAUUAACAGGUUUUACUGGAGAGAAAGGACCAAGAGGCAGUCCUGGAUUACAAG